AGUGGAAAGAGUGGCCGAAGCGCAGAUAUCGCUUCAACAGAGACAGGCCUCUCAUCACAGCUACAGGGGAACAGGUCAUCAGGACAUAGUCACAGUGUGGAAUGGGAAGCAGGUCACUGUGUACGAAUCCUCAGGGACGACUCUACGCAACACGGGGAUAUUUCCCGUGUGAGUCCCAGGUCUUAGCUGUGCUGUGAAUAUCUACACUGUGGAGCCCAAUAGGGUCCAGGUCCACACACCUCAGG